rnacentral:rRNA from 1 species
ACGAACGCUGGCGGCAUGCCUAACACCUGCAAGUCGAACGCGACCUUCGGGUCUAGUGGCGCACGGGUGCGUAACGCGUGGGAACCUGCCCUUAGGUUCGGAAUAACUUCCCGAAAGGGGUGCUAAUACCGGAUAAUGUCUUCGGACCAAAGAUUUAUCGCCUUUGGAUGGGCCCGCGUUGGAUUAGCUAGUUGGUAGGGUAAAAGCCUACCAAGGCGACGAUCCAUAGCUGGUCUGAGAGGAUGAUCAGCCACUCUGGGAGUGAGACACGGCCCAGACUCCUACGGGAGGCAGCAGUGGGGAAUAUUGGACAAUGGGCGGAAGCCUGAUCCAGCAAUGCCGCGUGAGUGAUGAAGGCCUUAGAGUUAUAAAGCACUUUUACCCGGGAUGAUAAUGACAGUACCGGAAGAAUAAGCUCCGGCUAACUCCGUG